rnacentral:rRNA from 1 species
GUGGGGAAUCUUGCGCAAUGGGCGAAAGCCUGACGCAGCCAUGCCGCGUGAAUGAUGAAGGUCUUAGGAUUGUAAAAUUCUUUCACCAGGGACGAUAAUGACGGUACCCGGAGAAGAAGCCCCGGCUAACUUCGUGUCAGCAGCCGCGGUAAUACGAAGGGGGCUAGCGUUGCUCGGAAUUACUGGGCGUAAAGGGCGCGUAGGCGGAUCGUUAAGUCAGGGGUGAAAUCCCAGAGCUCAACUCUGGAACUGCCCUUGAUACUGGCGAUCUUGAGUGUGAGAGAGGUAUGUGGAACUCCGAGUGUAGAGGUGAAAUUCGUAGAUAUUCGGAAGAACACCAGUGGCGAAGGCGACAUACUGGCUCAUUACUGACGCUGAGGCGCGAAAGCGUGGGGAGCAAACAGGAUUAGAAACCCCAGUAGUCC